rnacentral:rRNA from 1 species
GACGAACGCUGGCGGCGUGCUUAACACAUGCAAGUCGAACGGAAAGGCCCUGCUUGCAGGGUGCUCGAGUGGCGAACGGGUGAGUAACACGUGGGUGAUCUGCCCCUUACUUUGGGAUAAGCCUGGGAAACUGGGUCUAAUACUGGAUAGGACCAUGCUGUAGGUGGUGUGGUGGAAAGAUUAGAUUCGGUAAGGGAUGAGCUCGCGGCCUAUCAGCUUGUUGGUGGGGUAAUGGCCUACCAAGGCGUCGACGGGUAGCCGGCCUGAGAGGGUGGACGGCCACAUUGGGACUGAGAUACGGCCCAGACUCCUACGUGAGGCAGCAGUGGGGAAUAUUGCACAAUGGGCGCAAGCCUGAUGCAGCGACGCCGCGUGGGGGAUGACGGCCUUCGGGUUGUAAACUCCUUUCAGCCAUGACGAAGCCCUUGUGGUGACGGUAGUGUUAGAAGAAGCUCCGGCUAACUACGUG